rnacentral:rRNA from 1 species
GAAAUGUUGGGUUAAGUCCCGCAACGAGCGCAACCCUUAUCCUUUGUUGCCAGCGNUUAGGUCGGGAACUCAAAGGAGACUGCCAGUGAUAAACUGGAGGAAGGUGGGGAUGACGUCAAGUCAUCAUGGCCCUUACGAGUAGGGCUACACACGUGCUACAAUGGCAUAUACAAAGAGAAGCGACCUCGCGAGAGCAAGCGGACCUCAUAAAGUAUGUCGUAGUCCGGAUUGGAGUCUGCA